rnacentral:rRNA from 1 species
AUUGAACGCUGGCGGCAUGCUUUACACAUGCAAGUCGAACGGCAGCGGGGUAGUGCUUGCACUACUGCCGGCGAGUGGCGUACGGGUUAGUAAUAUAUCGGAACGUACCUAGUAAUUGGGGAUCACCAAUCGACACUUUUGCUAAUACCGCAUACGUCCUGAGGGAGAAAGCGCGUGAUCGCACGACCUCUCGUUUUUCCAUCGGCCGAUAACUGAUUAGCUAGUUGGUGGGGUAAAGGCCUACCAAGGCGACGAUCAGUACCGGGUCUGAGAGGACGAUCCGCCACACUGGGACUGAGACACGGCCCAGACUCCUACGGGAGGCAGCAGUGGGGAAUAUUGGACAAUGGGGGAAAGCCUGAUCCAGCCAUGCCGCGUGUAUGAAGAAGGCCUUCGGGUUGUAAAGUACUUUUGGUAGGGAAGAAAAGGGAAGAGCUAAUACCACUUUUUGCUGACGGUACCAAAAGAAUAAGCACCGGCUAACUACGUG